CUUUUGAUGGCGACCGGCGCACGGGUGAGUAACACGUAUCCAACCUGCCUCAUACUCGGGGAUAGCCUUUCGAAAGAAAGAUUAAUACCCGAUGUUAUAGUCCUACCGCAUGAUGGGAUUAUUAAAGAAUUUCGGUAUGGGAUGGGGAUGCGUUCCAUUAGUUAGUUGGCGGGGUAACAGCCCACCAAGACAACGAUGGAUAGGGGUUCUGAGAGGAAGGUCCCCCACAUUGGAACUGAGACACGGUCCAAACUCCUACGGAAGGCAGCAG
rnacentral:rRNA from 1 species